GAGCAGAUAGCUAAGUCAGUAGAGCAUCAGACCUUUAAUCUGGGGGUCCAGGGUUCAAGUCCCUUUCAGGUGA
rnacentral:tRNA from 1 species